AUUGAACGCUGGCGGCAGGCCUAACACAUGCAAGUCGAGCGAGCGGCGGACGGGUGAGUAAUGUCUGGGACACUGCCUGAUGGAGGGGGGUCACUACUGGAAACGGUAGCUAACCCCGCAUACCCUCAGAAGUGCCUAUAUGGGAUUAUCUAGUAGGUGGGGUAAUGGCUCACAUAGGCGAAGCUCCCUAGCUGGUCUGAGAGGAUGACCAGCCACACUGGAACUGAGACACGGUCCAGACUCCUAAGGGAGGCAGCAGUGGGGAAUAUUGCACAAUGGGCGCAAGCCUGAUGCAGCCAUGCCGCGUGUAUGAAGAAGGCCUUCGGGUUGUAAAGCACUUUCAGCGAGGAGGCGUUACUGGCAGAAGAAGCACCGGCUAACUCCGUGCCAGCCGCCGCGGUAAUAC
rnacentral:rRNA from 1 species